CUGACACAAAGAAGCAGGUGUGAGACCGGCCCCUUUCUCCCAUGCCUUAGACAGGGCUCCAGGGACUGCUUCAGGGGAGAUGUCAGAGGGCAGCAGGGACCGGGAAGGGAGGAAGAAAGCAGAGUGACAGUGAGAGGUGGGAAAACUACAAGAGGAAUUGUUUGUACGCUUGGAUCUGGACUUUUAGAACUGGUCAGGACCUGACAGAUCCUCCAGCCCAGUUCUCCCGGCUCUCAAACACUGGCAUCAUUUAUAAUUCCCUGGAAAAUCACCAGCAGGUAAAUGAAGGAGAAAAGAAAAGAACAAAAUCCACCGGGAACCAGAGACUUCCAGGCUCCAAAGACAGGCAAUCUCCACCAGGAAACACAGGAGAAGCCCUGAAAAGUUAGUCUUCUGGAAGAGAAAUUUACAUCUACAAAGGAAAUCUCCAUUUGUAAGUGUGUCUUCUUCUGCACUAGGAAGAGAAGGAUGACUAAAUCAGAGAAGUCUCUUGUCAGAGAAAGCACGGACUUCAGUC
rnacentral:lncRNA from 1 species